GAUAAGCUAUCAGUUUACAUUGCCAGGGUGAAAUUCAGCACAACUGUUUUAAGGUAAAGAUCUUGAGGCCCAUAAGGAAUUUCCCUGUGGACAAAUUGUGAGGGAGGUAUGUAGCUUUUUCUUUGUAGCUAUCUCUUUUAGGAAUAAAACAAGAGGCAGGUUUGCCUGACACAAUUCCCAGCUUGACUUUCCCCUUGGUUGAAUGAUUUGGGGGUUCUGAGAUUUAUUCUCCUUUCACAAUAUCAACAUCCAGGUUCUGAGACUGAUAUGCACCUGAGACUGUACAUAUGCCAAAUGGGUGUGCCCUUGUGAUGACUUUACGUCCUGUGUGACAUGGGUAUACCUGUGCAUUGUGUGUAUUCCUUUGCAGUCUAUGUGUGUGCCUGUGUGGUGUGGGUAUGCCUAUGCCCUUUGUGUGCACCUGUGUGAUGUAGAUGUGCCUGUACCCCAGCUGUUCCUGUAUGUAUCAGUGCCUGGAUGGGUCCUGGAGCCUCUGGCUGCUCUUCUCUUUAUAGGCUCUGUCUCUCUAGCCUGGACUUCCCAGAGGAAGAAGAGAACAGUGCAUAUUCACCACACUGAAAGGCAGCCUCUAGACCAGCCCUGGAUGGAUUGCACAAACUGGAGACUGCGGAAGACCUCUGCCAAGGAAAGCCUGGCCCUCCCCAGUCCUGUCUGCCCCCUCUGAGCCCUGUCUAAGAUUACAGCCCAUGGCCCUUCCUCUCCUUCCUUUCCCAGAGCAAGAGCCACAGCAGUUAGCCCAUGACAGUGCCAGAGACAGCCCUGGCCUGGGGAACCAAGGACCAGAAGGGAAGACCAGGCCUCUAGUUCCUCGGCACCAGACCUGACCCAGCCAGGCCUGGAGUGUCAACAUGAGUGUGAAUGUGAGUGAAAGGGUGAACGUGGUGAAAGCAUAGCUUCUGAACUCCCAGACUGCAGUGCUUCCAAUAAAACCACCUAGCACCCA
rnacentral:lncRNA from 1 species